UUGUGGAUAGGUCAGUUAGUAGAGCAUCAGACUCUUAACCUGAGGAAUGUGGGUUCAAGCUCCACACUGGGCAAA